UACGGGAGGCAGCAGUGGGGAAUAUUGCACAAUGGGCGAAAGCCUGAUGCAGCUAUGCCGCGUGUAUGAAGAAGGCCUUAGGGUUGUAAAGUACUUUCAUCGGGGAGGAAAAAACAAAACUAAUAAUUUUAUUUCUUGACGUUACCCGAAAAAGAAGCACCGGCUAACUCCGUGCCAGCAGCCGCGGUAAUACGGAGGGUGCUAGCGUUAAUCAGAAUUACUGGGCGUAAAGAGCACGUAGGUGGUUUUUUUAAGUCAGAUGUGAAAUCCCUGGGCUUAACCUAGGAACUGCAUUUUGAAACUGAAAUACUAGAGUAUCGUAGAGGGAGGUAGAAUUCUAGGUGUAGCGGUGAAAUGCGUAGAUAUCUGGAGGAAUACCUGUGGCGAAAGCGGCCUCCUAAACGAAUACUGACACUGAGGGUGCGAAAGCGUGGGGAGCAAAACAGGGAUUAGAUACC
rnacentral:rRNA from 1 species